rnacentral:rRNA from 1 species
GACGAACGCUGGCGGCGUGCUUAACACAUGCAAGUCGAACGGAAAGGCCCUGCUUUUGUGGGGUGCUCGAGUGGCGAACGGGUGAGUAACACGUGAGUAACCUGCCCUUGACUUUGGGAUAACUGCAGGAGACUGGGGCUAAUACCGGAUAGGAGCUCCUGCUGCAUGGUGGGGGUUGGACAGUAUCGGCGGUGGGGGAUGGACUCGCGGCUUAUCAGCUUGUUGGUGGGGUAGUGGCUUACCAAGGCUUAGACGGGUAGCCGGCCUGAGAGGGUGACCGGCCACAUUGGGCCUGAGAGACGGCCCAGACUGCAACGGGAGGCAGCAGGGGGGAGUAUUGUACAAUGGGCGGAAGCGUGAUGAAGCAGCGCUGCGUGCGGGAUGACGGUCUUCGGGUGAGAAACCGCUGUAGCUUGUGACGAAGCGUGAGUGACGGUAAUGGGUAAAGAAGCACCGGCUAACUACGUG